GCCCGGUUAGCUCAGACGGUAGAGCGCGGGACUUUUAAACCUGAGGUUAAGGGUUCAAGUCUCUUAUCAGGCG
rfam:Daphnia pulex DAPPTscaffold_1197_Cont12180, whole genome shotgun sequence.